AACAAUGGUGGGCUGGACGGGGGCAUCGAAAGAUGCGCCGGGUUCUCUGUUGACCGGUCUGCUAACCCCGUUCAGUCCACCACCCAA
rfam:Yersinia pseudotuberculosis IP 32953, complete genome.